AGGGCUGUAUGUCAAUUAUAUCCCAAUAAAACUGGAAGAAAAAUGAAUCAAGUACACAACUCAAUGGUUUUGAGUGGCUUGGAGAUCAGUGACUUCCAAAUCGGAAUGGAUCCAGAGCUCUGCACCCAUCCCUACUUUCAUUUUAGAACAUGUUCAUCACCCAGUUAAGCGAUCACUGCAAGGAAGGACUCCAUUCACUCAGCCCUGGAUGGAAUGGACUUCACGCGCUGACUCAGAGGACACAUGACUCUGUGGGAAUCCAGCCGCCAUGCUGUAAGGACACUCAAGCAGCCCCAAAGAGAUCCACAUCAAGAGGAUGUGACCAAGAGCCAAGAGCCAGCAACAAUUUGCCAGCCAUGGAAGUGGAUCCCCAGCCCUAGUAAAGCUUUCAGAUGACUGUGGCCUUACCCGACACCUGACAGCAACCUCACUGGAUAGCCCAAACAGAACCACUCAGGUCUUAGCUGUGGCACACAAGAUCUUCGUUGCUGUGUGCGGGAUCUCCAUUGUGGCAUGCAGGAUCUUUUAGUUGUGGCAUGUGAACUCUUAGUUGCGGCAUGCAUGUGGGAUCUAGUUCCCUGACCGGGGAUCGGACCCAGGCCCCCUGCCUUGGGAGUGCAGAGUCUUAACCACUGGACCACCAGGGAAGUCCCAAUCUCCUGCUUUAACAUCCCCCUACCCUUAACCCCACACCAUGAUGACACCAUCAAGGACUUAAGAAGUAAACUGGGGCCCAAAAUGGCUCUGGGGAGGUACAAUAUUACUAAUAUGUGAAAGGAAAGGUGUUCAACCUCACAAGUAUGCCAAGAAAUGGGAAUUCAAAUAAAUAAGAUACUUGGAGAGGGUUUGCAAACAGGAAAGAGAUGUGACUGAAAUGUUUUCUAAACCAGUGCACCCAUGUUUGGUGUAAAUUUUAAAUGAGCAUAAAUAAUUGUGUGUUAAAAUUUUUUUUUAAUAUACAAAAAGGAGUAGUAUGUCAAUAAAAAUAUUGGUUACCUCCAUACUUUAAAAUACGCCAAACACAAGAAAACGAGUAUUGUAAUCACUUAAUCUUUUCUCCAUAUUGGGGUUUCUCACAGCGGCAUUGGGUCCUGAGGGCACCUGUCCACACGGGUGACUGCUGACAUGGCCACGGCACCGUCUCUGAGGCCCCGCCCCUCUGUGGUCAGCCUGCUGCUUCGAUGACAUGUGGGCUCUGGGCAUCUUUGCUGCUGCGGACCAAGGCCCGGUGCUGAGUCCUGCCCUCACUGUGAGGCCCUCCCAUGCCCCAUCCUCAGUUCUGGGGACGCCCCCUCCCCGCCAAAGUAUCUCCCUGAGAUUCAUGCUCUCAAAUCCUCUUUUCCCUCACAUUCUUUCAUGAUAAGGCCCCAUUAAACCCAAAGCCUGAAUUCUUUUGUUGUUGUUGUUGUUGU